rnacentral:rRNA from 2 species
GGAAAAGAAAUCAACCGAGAUUCCCCCAGUAGCGGCGAGCGAACGGGGAGCAGCCCAGAGUCUGAAUCAGCUUGUGUGUUAGUGGAACGGUCUGGGAAGUCCGACGGUACAGGGUGAUAGUCCCGUACACCAAAAUGCACAGGUUGUGAACUCGAAGAGUAGGGCGGGACACGUGGUAUCCUGUCUGAAUAUGGGGGGACCAUCCUCCAAGGCUAAAUACUCCUGACUGACCGAUAGUGAACCAGUACCGUGAGGGAAAGGCGAAAAGAACCCCGGCGAGGGGAGUGAAAAAGAACCUGAAACCGUGUACGUACAAGCAGUGGGAGCACCUUCGGGUGUGACUGCGUACCUUUUGUAUAAUGGGUCAGCGACUUAUAUUCUGUAGCAAGGUUAACCGUAUAGGGGAGCCGCAGGGAAACCGAGUCUUAACUGGGCGUUAAGUUGCAGGGUAUAGACCCGAAACCCGGUGAUCUAGCCAUGGGCAGGUUGAAGGUUGGGUAACACUAACUGGAGGACCGAACCGACUAAUGUUGAAAAAUUAGCGGAUGACUUGUGGCUGGGGGUGAAAGGCCAAUCAAACCGGGAGAUAGCUGGUUCUCCCCGAAAGCUAUUUAGGUAGCGCCUCGUGAACUCAUCUUCGGGGGUAGAGCACUGUUUCGGCUAGGGGGUCAUCCCGACUUACCAACCCGAUGCAAACUACGAAUACCGAAGAAUGUUAUCACGGGAGACACACGGCGGGUGCUAACGUCCGUCGUGAAGAGGGAAACAACCCAGACCGCCAGCUAAGGUCCCAAAGUCAUGGUUAAGUGGGAAACGAUGUGGGAAGGCACAGACAGCCAGGAUGUUGGCUUAGAAGCAGCCAUCAUUUAAAGAAAGCGUAAUAGCUCACUGGUCGAGUCGGCCUGCGCGGAAGAUGUAACGGGGCUAAACCAUGCACCGAAGCUGCGGCAGCGACGCUUAUGCGUUGUUGGGUAGGGGAGCGUUCUGUAAGCCUGCGAAGGUGGCCUGUGAGGGUUGCUGGAGGUAUCAGAAGUGCGAAUGCUGACAUAAGUAACGAUAAAGCGGGUGAAAAGCCCGCUCGCCGGAAGACCAAGGGUUCCUGUCCAACGUUAAUCGGGGCAGGGUGAGUCGACCCCUAAGGCGAGGCCGAAAGGCGUAGUCGAUGGGAAACAGGUUAAUAUUCCUGUACUUGGUGUUACUGCGAAGGGGGGACGGAGAAGGCUAUGUUAGCCGGGCGACGGUUGUCCCGGUUUAAGCAUGUAGGCGGAGGUUCCAGGUAAAUCCGGUACCUUUUAACGCUGAGGUGUGAUGACGAGGCACUACGGUGCUGAAGUAACAAAUGCCCUGCUUCCAGGAAAAGCCUCUAAGCAUCAGGUAACAUUAAAUCGUACCCCAAACCGACACAGGUGGUCAGGUAGAGAAUACCAAGGCGCUUGAGAGAACUCGGGUGAAGGAACUAGGCAAAAUGGUGCCGUAACUUCGGGAGAAGGCACGCUGGUGUGUAGGUGAAGUCCCUGCGGACGGAGCUGAGACCAGUCGAAGAUACCAGCUGGCUGCAACUGUUUAUUAAAAACACAGCACUGUGCAAACACGAAAGUGGACGUAUACGGUGUGACGCCUGCCCGGUGCCGGAAGGUUAAUUGAUGGGGUUAUCCGUAAGGAGAAGCUCUUGAUCGAAGCCCCGGUAAACGGCGGCCGUAACUAUAACGGUCCUAAGGUAGCGAAAUUCCUUGUCGGGUAAGUUCCGACCUGCACGAAUGGCGUAAUGAUGGCCAGGCUGUCUCCACCCGAGACUCAGUGAAAUUGAACUCGCUGUGAAGAUGCAGUGUACCCGCGGCAAGACGGAAAGACCCCGUGAACCUUUACUAUAGCUUGACACUGAACAUUGAGCCUUGAUGUGUAGGAUAGGUGGGAGGCUUUGAAGCGUGGACGCCAGUCUGCGUGGAGCCAACCUUGAAAUACCACCCUUUAAUGUUUGAUGUUCUAACGUAGGCCCCUUAUCGGGGUUGCGGACAGUGUCUGGUGGGUAGUUUGACUGGGGCGGUCUCCUCCCAAAGAGUAACGGAGGAGCACGAAGGUUAGCUAAUCCUGGUCGG